GGUACUUCUAUAACGGUUAUAAGAUAACUCAAGCUUAUGUAUACGGGUAUUUCUAUAACAGCUGUAAGAUAAAAACCAUUUUUUAUAUAAGCUAUUUACGUAAGCUAUCUUUAAGAGCUUAUGUAUGGAAAUAAGCUAAGAAAAGCCCCUUAACAUGUCAUAAGUUGAUGCCACAAACUCUCUCAAACAGUCCCACAAGUGCUUAUGUCAGGUUCAAAUAAUUCAAUCCAAACAAGCUCUAAGUUCUUAAUUAAGCUAUUUAUUCAAACUUACUAUAUAGAAUUGGCAGUCUUGUUAACUUACUUUUUUCCCACAUCAGUGAUGUCAUGUGGAGUUUGAGUUCAUAACCAUAAUGCUGCUUUAAUGCAGUGAUGUCAGCCUAAGUGGACUGCAGGGUGAAAUAAACUGCAUUUAUCAAAAUACAGUGGUUAUUGUUUCAAUAGUGGUCUUUGUAGCUUUAUUCAGCAUACUUGGUUUAUGGUUCAUUGUUGUUCUGAGAGCAAUCAAUUCAUGGUUGAAUGGUUCCCAAUCAUGAGUACUGCAGUUGGCUAACUUACUUAUGGACAUAUUUACUUGGUUCAGAAGCAAUGUUUGGUGAUCUUGGUCAUUUUUCAGUAAGACCAAUACAUUAUACAGAUUGCUUACACUAGCAUAGUUUGUUUCUUGUCGCCUCCUUGCUUAUAUGGGCCAAGCUGCUUAUUUGUUGAUGAACCCUACUUCUUAUUCAUUGAUUCUGUUCCAGGUGAUAUAUUUGCUGAUAUUAUGUUUGUGACUGUGCAUAUUAGUCACUGUCCUAAAAAAUUUAAUUGAAUGUUAUCAAACUAGAUACGAGAUUGAAUCGGUGAGACUUCUGGAUUAUGGUUCAAUCGGUUGAAACAACUGUUGUUAAAAUUGGUUCUAUAGGACUGUAAACUGGCCGUGGUUGAACCAACCUCCAGACUGGCCAGUUAUCGGUUGAACCAUCCGAUCCGGUCUUGUUUUAACAACACUGGUCUAAUUAUGAGAUAUUUGUUUUUGCGUGAAACAGGUAGUCUCUUCUUGCUCAUGUUUCUGAUUGUCACACUUGCUGCUAUGAGCCUAUGAUUGCUAGCCAAGCAAUGUUAUCUGCUACAUUUUCAUGCAUAAACCAAUACGACUUUAGGGUGCUUUCUUGGGUUCAAAAUAAUUCACACACCUCGACAAAGUUUAUGGGUCAAAUUUAUGUCUCUGUAGAUAACUAGUUUCUGAUGGUCAUGUGCAUACUUGUUAUUUCCAUCUUCCAAGUGUUACUGAUAUUGCAAAUGCAUAUGGUAAAGUUCCUCUCAUCUCCAUAUUCCAUGUGGUACUAGUUGUUUUUAUACUCUUUUUCUUUAUCAUUAUUAGGGUCACAAUUUGGAGGAAUCGAUUUGGAUAGACAACUUUAAGCCUUAUUGUUAGCGGCCAACACUCAGUGUGAGUUAGGCCCCAUAAUUUGCGACACUUAUAGCAUAAACACUUAUUUUAUAAGCGCUUAUGUAUGAGCUAUUUCUAUAUAAAAAGUCAUAUUGUUUCA